rnacentral:rRNA from 1 species
GGAUUAGAUACCCUGGUAGUCCAUGCCGUAAACGUUGGGAACUAGAUGUAGGGCCUGUUCCACGGGUUCUGUGUCGUAGCUAACGCAUUAAGUUCCCCGCCUGGGGAGUACGGCCGCAAGGCUAAAACUCAAAGGAAUUGACGGGGGCCCGCACAAGCGGCGGAGCAUGCGGAUUAAUUCGAUGCAACGCGAAGAACCUUACCAAGGCUUGACAUAGCCGAGAACGCUGUAGAGAUACAGAACUCUUUGGACACUCGGUUACAGGUGGUGCAUGGUUGUCGUCAGCUCGUGCCG